GGUUCUUUGAACAUAAAAUUAAGAAUCUGACCUGCCCGGUGAUGUAGUAAACGGCCGCGGUAAAUUAACCGUGCUAAGGUAGCAUAAUCAAUUGUCUAUUAAUUGUAGACUGGAAUGAAUGGUUUGACUUAAAACUAAUUGUCUUAACUAUAAGUUGAAUUUUUUAUUUUUGUGAGGAGACAAAAAUGAGUCAGCAAGACGAGAAGACCCUAUUGAGCUUUAUAAAUAAAUGACUAAUUAGGUGUAAGGAUAAAAAAGUUAAGAUUUUAUUUUGCUGGGGCGGUAAAGGUAUAGAAUAACUAUUUUUUAUUUAAAUAAUAAUAUUUAAUUUUUGAUCCAGUAUAUUGAUUAGAAGACUAAGUUACUGUAGGGAUAACAGCGUGAUUUCUUUUUGGAGAUCAAAUUUAUGAAGAAGGUUGCGACCUCGAUGUUGGUUUAGGAUACCUUUUAGGUGAAGUAGCUUAAAAAGGUGGUUUGUUCAACUAUUAAAUUCCUAUUA
rnacentral:rRNA from 1 species